rnacentral:rRNA from 1 species
UACGUAGGGACCAAGCGUUGUUCGGAUUUACUGGGCGUAAAGGGCGCGCAGGCGGCAAUUCAAGUCAUCUGUGAAAUCUCCGAGCUUAACUCGGAACGGUCAGAUGAUACUGCUUUGCUAGAGUGCAGAAGGGGCAACCGGAAUUCUUGGUGUAGCGGUGAAAUGCGUAGAUAUCAAGAGGAACACCGGAGGUGAAGACGGGUUGCUGGGCUGACACUGACGCUGAGGCGCGAAAGCGUGGGGAGCAAACAGG